rnacentral:rRNA from 1 species
GGGGAUAACUAUUGGAAACGAUAGCUAAUACCGCAUAAGAGUAGAUGUUGCAUGACAUUUGCUUAAAAGGUGCAAUUGCAUCACUACCAGAUGGACCUGCGUUGUAUUAGCUAGUUGGUGGGGUAACGGCUCACCAAGGCGACGAUACAUAGCCGACCUGAGAGGGUGAUCGGCCACACUGGGACUGAGACACGGCCCAG